CAGUAGCCGCGGGAAUACGUAGGGUGCAAGCGUUAAUCGGAAUUACUGGGCGUAAAGCGUGCGCAGGCGGUUAUAUAAGACAGAUGUGAAAUCCCCGGGCUCAACCUGGGAACUGAAUUUGUGACUGUAUAGCUAGAGUACGGCAGAGGGGGAUGGAAUUCCGCGUGUAGCAGUGAAAUGCGUAGAUAUGCGGAGGAACACCGAUGGCGAAGGCAAUCCCCUGGGCCUGUACUGACGCUCAUGCACGAAAGCGUGGGGAGCAAACAGGAUUAGAUACCCGCGUAGUCCCUGUCUCUUAUAA
rnacentral:rRNA from 1 species